rnacentral:tRNA from 1 species
GGUUGUGGCUCAGUGGUAGCGCACUUGUCUAGCAUGCAUGAGGCACUGGGUUUGAUUCUCAGCACCA